UACGGAGGGUGCAAGCGUUAUCCGGAUUCACUGGGUUUAAAGGGUGCGUAGGUGGGUUGGUAAGUCAGUGGUGAAAUCUCCGAGCUUAACUUGGAACUGCCGUUGAUACUAUCAAUCUUGAAUAUCGCGUAGGUAAGCGGAAUAUGUCAUGUAGCGGUGAAAUGCUUAGAUAUGACAUAGAACACCUAUUGCGAAAGGCAGCUUACUACGCAUAUAUUGACGCUGAGGCACGAAAAGCGUGGGGGAUCAAA
rnacentral:rRNA from 1 species